CGCUAUCACUCCUACGGGAGGCAGCAGUAGGGAAUCUUCCACAAUGGGCGCAAGCCUGAUGGAGCAACACCGCGUGAGUGAAGAAGGGUUUCGGCUCGUAAAGCUCUGUUGUUAAAGAAGAACACGUAUGAGAGUAACUGUUCAUACGUUGACGGUAUUUAACCAGAAAGUCACGGCUAACUACGUGCCAGCAGCCGCGGUAAUACGUAGGUGGCAAGCGUUAUCCGGAUUUAUUGGGCGUAAAGAGAGUGCAGGCGGUUUUCUAAGUCUGAUGUGAAAGCCUUCGGCUUAACCGGAGAAGUGCAUCGGAAACUGGAUAACUUGAGUGCAGAAGAAGGUAGUGGAACUCCAUGUGUAGCGGUGGAAUGCGUAGAUAUAUGGAAGAACACCAGUGGCGAAGGCGGCUACCUGGUCUGCAACUGACGCUGAGACUCGAAAGCAUGGGUAGCGAACAGGAUUAGAUACCCUGGUAG
rnacentral:rRNA from 1 species